GAGAAAGUAAGCAAGGGCAGACGGUGGAUGCCUUGGCUCUCGGAGGCGACGAAGGACGUGAUAAGCUGCGAAAAGCCCGGGGGAGGCGCAAAUAGCCGUUGAUCCCGGGAUAUCCGAAUGGGGCAACCCGGCAGGCUGAAGGCCUGUCAUCCCGAAAGGGAGGCGAACGUGGGGAACUGAAACAUCUAAGUACCCAUAGGAGGAGAAAAUAAACAAUGAUUCCGUAAGUAGUGGCGAGCGAACACGGAAGAGCCCAAACCCAUGUCGUCUAGGCGACACGGGGGUUGUAGGACCACGACGUGGCAAGAAGGAAGGGAAAUGGAACGCCUUGGAAAAGUCGGCCAUAGACGGUGAAAGCCCGGUACAUGACUCCCUUACGAAGCCUAGUGGUAUCCUGAGUAGCGCGGGGCACGAGAAAUCUUGCGUGAAGCAGCGGGGCCCAUCCCGUAAGGCUAAAUACUCCCGAGAGACCGAUAGCGAACCAGUACCGUGAGGGAAAGGUGAAAAGAACCCCGAGCAGGGGAGUGAAAUAGACCCUGAACCCGUCUGCCUACAAGCGGUCGGAGCGUCGUAAUGACGUGACGGCGUGCCUUUUGCAUAAUGAACCUACGAGUUACCUUCCCCGGCAAGGUUAAGUUCUUGAGGAACGGAGCCGAAGCGAAAGCGAGUCUGAACAGGGCGCCAAGUCGGGGGGGGUAGACGCGAAACCGAGUGAUCUACCCUUGGCCAGGUUGAAGGUUGGGUAACACCAACUGGAGGACCGGAUGGGUAAGCGUUGAAAAGCUUUCCAAUGAGCUGAGGGUAGGGGUGAAAGGCUAAUCAAACUCGGAGAUAGCUCGUACUCCCCGAAAUGCAUUUAGGUGCAGCCUCUUUAUAGUAUAUCGUGAGGUAGAGCGACUGAUUGGAUGCGAGGGCUUCACCGCCUAUCAAGUCCAGAUAAACUCCGAAUGCGCGAUAUAUAUUUACAGGGAGUGAGGGCGCGGGUGCUAAGGUCCGUGUCCGAGAGGAGAAGAAUCCAGACCACCGGCUAAGGCCCCCAAAUGAUCGUUAAGUUGAACUAACGAGGUCGGAUCGCAGAGACAGCUAGGAUGUUGGCUUGGAAGCAGCCAUUCAUUUAAAGAGUGCGUAACAGCUCACUAGUCGAGCGAUCUGGCGUGGAUAAUAAUCGGGCAUAAACGAUCUGCCGAAGCCGUGGAUGUCGCAAGACAUGGUAGGGGAGCAUUCCAUGCCGCGUCGAAGAUGAGGGAUGACCCUUGUUGGAGCGCAUGGAAAAGCAAAUGUAGGUAUGAGUAACGAUAAGGGGGGCGAGAAACCCCCCCGCCGAAAGACCAAGGUUUCCUGAUCAACGCUAAUCGGAUCAGGGUGAGUCGGGACCUAAGGCAAAGCCGAACGGCGCCGCCGAUGGAAGAAUGGGUUAAUAUUCCCAUACUGCCUCAUGGAGUGACGUGGAGACGGAGAAGUGACAGUCCUGCCGGCUGACGGAAUAGCCGGUUGAAGGGUGUAGAUAUUGAUUCCCGUAGGCAAAUCCGCGGGGAGAGUCGAACCUGAGAGUAUACGGAGCGCUUGCGCAACGUAAUAUGGACGUAACCAUGCUCCCGAGAAAAUCCGCUAAACUUAUCCAUGCGGCACCCGUACCGUAAACGGACACACGUGGUCGGGUUGAGAAUACUGAGGCGCUCGAGUGAUUCACGGUUAAGGAACUAGGCAAAUUGACCCUGUAACUUCGGGAUAAAGGGUCCUCGUCGUAAGGCGAGGCGCAGAGAAUAGGUCCAGGCAACUGUUUAACAAAAACACAUGGCUGUGCUAAAUGGAAACAUGAUGUAUACAGCCUGACACCUGCCCGGUGCCGGAAGGUUAAGAGGAGAUGUCAUC
rnacentral:rRNA from 1 species